UACGAGGGGGGCAAGCGUUGUUCGGAAUCAUUGGGCGUAAAGAGCUCGUAGGCGGUUUGUCGCGUCUGCCGUGAAAGUCCGGGGCUCAACUCCGGAUCUGCGGUGGGUACGGGCAGACUAGAGUGAUGUAGGGGAGACUGGAAUUCCUGGUGUAGCGGUGAAAUGCGUAGAUAUCUGGAGGAAUACCGGUGGCGAAGGCGGCAUCCUGGACCGGCAU
rnacentral:rRNA from 1 species